AUGCGCGUUUUUACCAUGCAGUCGACGGUGACCUCUGGAGCUUGCUUCGAGGGGAUCAGUGGCGAACGGGUGAGUAACACGUGAGUAACCUGCCCCGGACUCUGGAAUAAGCGCUGGAAACGGCGUCUAAUACCGGAUACGAGACGCAACCGCAUGGUUAGUGUCUGGAAAGUUUUUCGGUCUGGGAUGGACUCGCGGCCUAUCAGCUUGUUGGUGAGGUAAUGGCUCACCAAGGCGACGACGGGUAGCCGGCCUGAGAGGGCGACCGGCCACACUGGGACUGAGACACGGCCCAGACUCCUACGGGAGGCAGCAGUGGGGAAUAUUGCACAAUGGGCGAAAGCCUGAUGCAGCGACGCCGCGUGAGGGAUGACGGCCUUCGGGUUGUAAACCUCUUUCAGCAGGGAAGAAGCGAAAGUGACGGUACCUGCAGAAGAAGCACCGGCUAACUACGUGCCAGCAGCCGCGGUAAUACGUAGGGUGCGAGCGUUGUCCGGAAUUAUUGGGCGUAAAGAGCUUGUAGGCGGUUUGUCGCGUCUGCUGUGAAAAUCCGGGGCUCAACCCCGGACUUGCAGUGGGUACGGGCAGACUAGAGUGUGGUAGGGGAGACUGGAAUUCCUGGUGUAGCGGUGAAAUGCGCAGAUAUCAGGAGGAACACCGAUGGCGAAGGCAGGUCUCUGGGCCACUACUGACGCUGAGAAGCGAAAGCAUGGGGAGCGAACAGGAUUAGAUACCCUGGUAGUCCAUGCCGUAAACGUUGGGCGCUAGGUGUGGGACUCAUUCCACGAGUUCCGUGCCGCAGCUAACGCAUUAAGCGCCCCGCCUGGGGAGUACGGCCGCAAGGCUAAAACUCAAAGGAAUUGACGGGGGCCCGCACAAGCGGCGGAGCAUGCGGAUUAAUUCGAUGCAACGCGAAGAACCUUACCAAGGCUUGACAUAUACCGGAAACAUCCAGAGAUGGGUGCCCCUUUUGGUCGGUAUACAGGUGGUGCAUGGUUGUCGUCAGCUCGUGUCGUGAGAUGUUGGGUUAAGUCCCGCAACGAGCGCAACCCUCGUUCUAUGUUGCCAGCACGUAAUGGUGGGGACUCAUAGGAGACUGCCCGGGGUCAACUCGGAGGAAUGUGG
rnacentral:rRNA from 1 species